rnacentral:rRNA from 1 species
UACAGAGGGGGCAAGCGUUGUUCGGAAUUACUGGGCGUAAAGGGCGCGUAGGCGGCCUUCUAAGUCGAACGUGAAAUCCCCCGGCUCAACCGGGGAAUGGCUGGAUAUACUGGCGGUCUUGAGCGAUCUAGGGGCAGAUGGAACAAGUGGUGGAGCGGUGAAAUGCGUAGAUAUCACUUGGAACGCCAAAGGUGAAAACAGUCUGCUGGGGAUCUGCCGACGCUGAGACACGAAAGCCAGGGGAGCGAACGGG